GGUUUAGACCGUCGUGAGACAGGUUAGUUUUAUCCUCCUAUAGAGUAUAGUAAUCUAAAUACAAAAUAAUAAAAUAUUGUAUUUAUAAAUAAAAUAAUAAAGAUAGUUUUGAUAGUAAUUUAAUUCAGUACGAGAGGAACCAUUAAUUCACACAAUUGGUAAUGCAACUGGUUGACAAGCUAAUGUUGCAAAGCUAACAUGUGUUUGAUUAUAGCUGAACGCCUCUAAGCUAGAAUCAAGCCUAAAGAAAGAACUAUUUGUUUUUUUCAAUAAGAAAGAGAGAUAAACAAUUAAAAAAAAGUUUCUUGUGUAAUUAUAUGAAAUAUUUAUUACAUUUAAAAGUAUUUAUAC
rnacentral:rRNA from 1 species